AGAGCAGAACAUUUUGAUGAAGGCAUAAUUUUUCCGCAGAGAAAUUGCUCCUUUCCUCCUUCUCCCCUGGUCGUCAUCCCUCCCCACCCCAGCCCACCGGGGAGAUCCAGAGAGACAUCGGCCGAUUUGGCCUUACAUCAGCCCUGCCGCUUGCCUUGCCCUGAUCUAGCCUCUCCUAAGAAUGGCCCUGGACAUAGAGAACAAGCAACCUUCAAAGACUCACAGCUGUUUUCCUAUAUCCCCUCAGCCAUCUCUCCUCCAGGCUAAACCCCAAUUCCUUUCAGUUUUCCUACUAAGACAUAUAUUCCAUAUCUGGAAUCAUUUUGGUUGCUUUUAUGCCUCCCCAGUCUCUGCAACCCUUGAGAAAUGUGGUGCUGUAAACCAGACCCUACCGGGGACUCUGAGUAGUUUGUGUUGCAGGACGCUCGGGAGGACAGUUUCAGGCAUCAUUUCCUCCCGAAACCCCACACCUUUUCUCCCCCCACUUCUGUUCUGUCAAGAACAUUUGCCCUUUAGGUGCCAUCCUGAUUGAGCCCUGGAGAAUUCUCCUCUCCAUCGUUCACUUCCUCUUUGCCAGCUGGGCCCAGACUCCCCUGAGGUGCUGUCCUAUUGGAGCUGAAUUUGGUCAUCUGGCAAGAUCUCCAGAGAGUCCAUUAUCUUUUAACCCUCGGCCAGGCUGGAUUGGUCGAGGGCCAGCCCUUUCCCAAUUUUGGGCGGCAGAGCUAAGUGGGACCAGAAAGCCAGCUGGACUUGUGAGUCGGGCGAAAGGAGCGAAGACACCAUUUCCACUUCCUUAGGGAAGGUGACUCCUCAGAUUGGAAGCCGACUGCAAGACCGAAUUGGCCGAUGUCUCUUCAGAUCUUCCCCGGUUUCCUGGGCCGGGCCCGCAGUGAGGUCGCUGAGAGGGGCUGUGUCUGCACGUCCAUCCCGAAUUUCUUGCUAAUUCUUCCCGCAAGCAGAAGAGGUGGGUCCUGGUUCUGGUCUGUUCGGAGAGCCCAGGUGGUCCUCCCUGGAACUGCUGUGGCUUGGGGAGGAGGUAGUAAAAAGGAGAUUUCAUGCCUUGGGGUAGCAUGGUGACAUAGUGGGGGGUGAAUGAAACCUGGAAGCCUGAUGAGCCAUCUUGCACUCUGAGGUCAAGGGUCACCAGUGGCCAGGGUUCAGGCAUUCCUUAACCUGUCCAGAAGCCACUUUGCCUGCUUCCUCUUAACCCCUUCAGUUUGGCCAGCAGAGAGGACUUCAGUUGUCUGACUCUAAAAACAGGCCCAAGGAUCAAU